rnacentral:misc_RNA from 1 species
GAUGAAGAACGUAGCGAAAUGCGAUACUUGGUGUGAAUUGCAGAAUCCCGUGAACCAUCGAGUCUUUGAACGCAAGUUGCGCCUCAAGCCAUUAGGUUGAGGGCACGUCUGCCUGGGCGUCACAUAUCGUUGCCUGAUGCCAGUUUCCUCGUGAUGGGUGACUGUGCAGGGCGAAUGAUGGCUUCCCGUGAGCAUUGUUGCCUCAUGGUUGGUUGAAAAUUGAGUCCUUGGUAGGGAGCGCCGUGAUAGAUGGUGGUUGAGUGACGAACGAGACCCAAUCAUGUGAGACCCCUACCGAAUUUGGCCUUCAUGACCCACAUGCGUCUUUGGAACGCUCAUGACGAGACCUCAGGUCAGGCGGGGCUACCCGCUGAGUUUAAGCAUAUCAAUAAGCGGAGGA